CGCGCGCAACCCGUGUCUAUGGCCCCGCCUGAAGACGCCACGCUCUUCGAUGCAGAACUCAAGAAGAGGUUCAAGACUAUCGAGAUGAACUUCAUCCGGCCUCAAGGGAUGACGUCACCUUCUGGCGAACGCGUCCUCCAAUUCUGGGAGCUGAUGGCUUGAAGUCCCCACGCCUCGCAACGGUGGACAGGUAAAGGAUGCAUUUCGAAUCCGAGACUUUGUAUGGCCAUUAAGAAUGCAAUCGUUAUUUAUUCUUUUGUUGUGUGAAUUAUAGUUUAAAAUUCAAUGGGGACGAAAAUCUUGAACUGAUCAGUAGGUCUAGACAUGUGGCACUUUUGAACGAAUCGAAAAUCGAAUCCGUUUACGGAGCGAUGUAACUCUAUACAAAAACGCCGGAGCUAAGGCAUUUCGACAUUACAACUGUCACGUUUUGCCACUUGUCUUAGAUGUUUGUUGACUGCGUUUUUAUUCGUUUAUCCUGCAGGCCGGAGUAAUAAAUCAUGAUGCUUAAUUUUCCGCGAAAUGCAAUCUAUUGAAUCAAUGAACAAAAUAUACAAAAAGUAUCGUGCACCAAAGAGAAAAAGAAUCCCCGCCCUAUUGGAUCUUCUCGUUUGGUUUCUAACAAGUAUUAUACAAUAUUGAUUGGAGCGAGACUCGAUUCUAAGAUGCAGAUUUGUGCAAUCGUUUACAAUAUUGGUUAUUUAAGUAAAAAUUAACAUCGGGGACCGAAUAUAUUCGUUUCGUAUUAUAAUAAGAUUAAAUAAUAUAGAAUUUGGUUUAGUCUAUCUACUUAGCACGAUAAUUAAUAUAUGAAAGCAAAUCAAUUUUUGUGAUACUUUUUACUGACAGUAGUCAAUAAAAUCAUUUUUAUUGUGUA